rnacentral:rRNA from 1 species
CAGUCGUACCGGCGGAUAAUCAGCCUUUCGGGUGCGAUUCUGUGGGGCGUGAGGAGUUAAACGCCUUCAUGCCUGCAUAUUCGUGCACUUUGGGUGUACUUGCCCGUGUGUAAGUUAACAUCAAUUUUGGGGUCAUAAAAUGGCUGGAGGAAUGUAGCUUUGAUCUCGUAUCGAAGUGUUAUAGACUCUGGUUAGAUGGU